rnacentral:rRNA from 1 species
UGGUGUGAAUUGCAGAAUCCCGUGAACCAUCGAGUUUUUGAACGCAAGUUGCGCCCGAAGCCAUUCGGCUGAGGGCACGUCUGCCUGGGCGUCACGC